rnacentral:rRNA from 1 species
UUAGAUGUCCGGGGCCGCACGCGCGCUACACUGAAGGAAUCAGCGUGUGCUCUCCCUGUCCGUCAGGACUGGGUAACCCGUUGAACCUCCUUCGUGAUAGGGACAGGAGCUUGAAAUUGUUCUCCUCGAACGAGGAAUUCCCAGUAAGCGCGAGUCAUAAGCUCGUGUUGAUUACGUCCCUGCCCAUUGUACACACCGCCCGUCGCUACUACCGAUUGAAUGAUUUAGUGAGGUCUUCGGACUGGUGCUCGGAACGACCUCUCCUGGUCGGGCCGGCGUGCCGGAAAGAUGACCGAACUUGAUCAUUUAGAGGAAGUAAAAGUCGUAACAAGGUUUCC